rnacentral:rRNA from 1 species
CGGAGGGUGCAAGCGUUAAUCGGAAUUACUGGGCGUAAAGCGCACGCAGGUGGCUGAGUCAGUCGAUUGUGAAAGCCCUGGGCUUAACCUGGGAAUUGCAGUCGAUACUACUCGGCUCGAGUAUGGGAGAGGGCAGUGGAAUUCCCGGUGUAGCGGUGAAAUGCGUAGAUAUCGGAAGGAACAUCAGUGGCGAAAGCGGCUUCCUGGACCAGUACCGACGUUCAGGCACGAAAGCGUGGGGAGCAAACAGG